UACUGAGGGUGCAAGCGUUGUUCGGAAUUAUUGGGCGUAAAGAGCUCGUAGGCGGUUUGUCGCGUCUGCCGUGAAAGUCCGGGGCUCAACUCCGGAUCUGCGGUGGGUACGGGCAGACUAGAGUGAUGUAGGGGAGACUGGAAUUCCUGGUGUAGCGGUGAAAUGCGCAGAUAUCGGGAGGAACACCAGAGGCGAAGGCGGCGACCUGGACAAGUACUGACACUCAACUACGAAAGCGUGGGGAGCAAACAGG
rnacentral:rRNA from 1 species